CUAGCAUCUGCUACUUUGUCUGUCCGGUUAGCGGAAAAUUCGUCGAAGAUACAGAACUGAGGAGAAAUAUACAAUUUAAGGACAGGAUUUGCAGCAUUUUGAUGUGGCAUCUGCGCCAUGCAAAUUAUCCUUAUUUAUGCUUUGGCGUCAGGAGAUGGAGACGGCAUCCUAAAAUUGUCAAUUUUUUGUGUUUAAAAUCGCGAAAGUUGGCGAUUUAGUUUUGCUUUUGCGCUGCCUGUCUCCUGAUUUACGUGCGCUUCAUCGGCAGGAUGAGCUCGUCAGGUUAUCAGGAAAUCAUUGAAAAAACGGUGCUGGGGAAAUUUUUACAAUUUGGAGACGGAUUUUAAUUAUUUUUAAUAUGAUGUCAGCUCCGGGAUAGUAAUCCUUGUUAGUGCAGUGGCAU